AAACAUUUGGAGAAAACUCAGUAAAGACUUUCUCUUCUCCAAGGCACUGUUGACACAUACUAAGGGAGAGAAAAUAUGCAGCCAAUUCACCUCACUACAUUGACCCAACCACAUUUAAGGGGAUAAGAAAUCCAUUCAACUACCAGUUAUUUCCAAAUUCAAAUCUCUCCUUGAAAGCUCAAGAGGAAUUGAUUGACCUCUUCUGUGAUUUUAUUCUGAAGCAGUGAUUCCAAUCCCAGCCUCUGGCCGAAUUUUGGGUUUCGUUGGAAGCAGACUAUGGGUGCCUAAAAAUUCUGACCCUGAGUGCUAUGUGGAGAAGAAUGAAAAC